rnacentral:rRNA from 1 species
GUCUACGGCCAUGCCACCCUGAACACACCUGAUCUCCUCUGAUCUCGGAAGCUAAGCAGGGUCGGGCCUGGUUAGUACUUGGAUGGGAGACCACGUAGGAAGACCAGGUGCUGUAGGUG